rnacentral:rRNA from 1 species
AUUGAACGCUGGCGGCAGGCUUAACACAUGCAAGUCGAGCGGGGGAAGGUAGCUUGCUACCGGACCUAGCGGCGGACGGGUGAGUAAUGCUCAGGAAUCUGCCUAUUAGUGGGGGACAACAUCUCGAAAGGGAUGCUAAUACCGCAUACGUCCUACGGGAGAAAGCAGGGGAUCUUCGGACCUUGCGCUAAUAGAUGAGCCUAAGUCGGAUUAGCUAGUUGGUGGGGUAAAGGCCUACCAAGGCGACGAUCUGUAGCGGGUCUGAGAGGAUGAUCCGCCACACUGGGACUGAGACACGGCCCAGACUCCUACGGGAGGCAGCAGUGGGGAAUAUUGGACAAUGGGGGGAACCCUGAUCCAGCCAUGCCGCGUGUGUGAAGAAGGCCUUAUGGUUGUAAAGCACUUUAAGCGAGGAGGAGGCUACUUUAGUUAAUACCUAGAGAUAGUGGACGUUACUCGCAGAAUAAGCACCGGCUAACUCUGUGCCAGCAGCCGCGGUAAUACAGAGGGUGCGAGCGUUAAUCGGAUUUACUGGGCGUAAAGCGUGCGUAGGCGGCUUAUUAAGUCGGAUGUGAAAUCCCCGAGCUUAACUUGGGAAUUGCAUUCGAUACUGGUGAGCUAGAGUAUGGGAGAGGAUGGUAGAAUUCCAGGUGUAGCGGUGAAAUGCGUAGAGAUCU